UAAGCGGAGGAAAAGAAACCCAACAGGGAUUGCCCUAGUAACGGCGAGUGAAGCGGCAACAGCUCAAAUUUGAAAUCUGGCUCUCGGGCCCGAGUUGUAAUUUGUAGAGGAUGCUUUUGGUGAGGUGCCUUCCGAGUUCCCUGGAACGGGACGCCAUAGAGGGUGAGAGCCCCGUCUGGUUGGACACCGAGCCUCUGUAAAGCUCCUUCGACGAGUCGAGUAGUUUGGGAAUGCUGCUCUAAAUGGGAGGUAUAUGUCUUCUAAAGCUAAAUAUUGGCCAGAGACCGAUAGCGCACAAGUAGAGUGAUCGAAAGAUGAAAAGCACUUUGAAAAGAGAGUUAAAAAGUACGUGAAAUUGUUGAAAGGGAAGCGCUUGUGACCAGACUUGGGCUUGGUUGAUCAUCCAGGGUUCUCCCUGGUGCACUCCUCCAGCUCAGGCCAGCAUCAGUUUGCUUCGGGGGAUAAAGGCGUCGGGAAUGUGGCUCCCUCCGGGGAGUGUUAUAGCCCGUCGUGUAAUACCCUGGGGCGGACUGAGGUUCGCGCAUCUGCAAGGAUGCUGGCGUAAUGGUCAUCAGCGACCCGUCUUGAAACACGGACCAAGGAGUCGUCUUCGUAUGCGAGUGUUCGGGUGUCAAACCCCUACGCGUAAUGAAAGUGAACGCAGGUGAGAGCUUCGGCGCAUCAUCGACCGAUCCUGAUGUUCUCGGAUGGAUUUGAGUAAGAGCAUACGGGGCCGGACCCGAAAGAAGGUGAACUAUGCCUGUAUAGGGUGAAGCCAGAGGAAACUCUGGUGGAGGCUCGCAGCGGUUCUGACGUGCAAAUCGAUCGUCAAAUAUGGGCAUGGGGGCGAAAGAC
rnacentral:rRNA from 2 species